UAAUACGAAGGGGGCUAGCGUUGUUCGGAAUUACUGGGCGUAAAGGGCGUGUAGGCGGUCCGCUAAGUCAGGUGUGAAAGGCCUGGGCUCAACCCAGGAAAUGCGCCUGAGACUGACGGACUUGAGUCCGGGAGAGGAUGGUGGAACUCCCAGUGUAGAGGUGAAAUUCGUAGAUAUUG
rnacentral:rRNA from 1 species